rnacentral:rRNA from 1 species
UACGUAGGGGGCAAGCGUUGUCCGGAUUCAUUGGGCGUAAAGAGCUCGUAGGCGGCUUGUCGCGUCGACUGUGAAAUCCCGCGGCUCAACUGCGGGUCUGCAGCCGAUACGGGCAGGCUAGAGUUCGGUAGGGGAGACUGGAAUUCCUGGUGUAGCGGUGAAAUGCGCAGAUAUCAGGAGGAACACCGGUGGCGAAGGCGGGUCUCUGGGCCGAUACUGACGCUGAGGAGCGAAAGCGUGGGGAGCGAACAGG